rnacentral:rRNA from 1 species
CAGUCGAGGGGCAGCGGGGUUGUAGCAAUACAACUGCCGGCGACCGGCGCACGGGUGAGUAACACGUAUGUAACCUGCCCUCUGCAGGGGGAUAAGCGGAAGAAAUUCCGUCUAAUACCGCAUAAUACAAUUUGGAGACAUCUCCGGGUUGUCAAAGGAGUGAUCCGGCAGAGGAUGGACAUGCGGCGCAUUAGCUAGUCGGCGGGGUAACGGCCCACCGAGGCUACGAUGCGUAGGGGUUCUGAGAGGAAGGUCCCCCACACUGGUACUGAGACACGGACCAGACUCCUACGGGAGGCAGCAGUGAGGAAUAUUGGUCAAUGGGCGCGAGCCUGAACCAGCCAAGUCGCGUGAGGGAAGACGGUCCUAUGGAUUGUAAACCUCUUUUGUCGGGGAGCAAAAGACGCCACGUGUGGCGUUCCGAGAGUACCCGAAGAAAAAGCAUCGGCUAACUCCGUGCCAGCAGCCGCGGUAAUACGGAGGAUGCGAGCGUUAUCCGGAUUUAUUGGGUUUAAAGGGUGCGCAGGCGGAAGAUCAAGUCAGCGGUAAAAUUGAGAGGCUCAACCUCUUCGAGCCGUUGAAACUGGUUUUCUUGAGUGAGCGAGAAGUAUGCGGAAUGCGUGGUGUAGCGGUGAAAUGCAUAGAUAUCACGCAGAACUCCGAUUGCGAAGGCAGCAUACCGGCGCUCAACUGACGCUCAUGCACGAAAGUGUGGGUAUCGAACAGGAUUAGAUACCCUGGUAGUCCACACAGUAAACGAUGAAUACUAAUUGUUCGGGGAGAAUGAUCCCUGAGUGAUACAGCGAAAGCGU